CGGGACCCCGGGACCGGCACCGGUACCAGCACGGAGUGCUGUGAGCCGGCACCGGGUACCGGCACUGGGACCGGCACGGAGCGCUGCGAGACCCCGGAUACCGGCACUGGGACCGGCACUGGGACUGGCACGGAGCGCUGCGGGACCCCCCCAGAAUUCUGUUUAACAGUGAUCAUCAUCUAAAAUUAUGGCCACUGCCAGUGGUGAGGUACACCAUCCUGUAGAUCCUGGAAUCUCAAAGCUGCAGUUUGCUCCCUUCAGUAGUGCCUUGGAUGCAGGAUUCUGGCAUGAACUAACCCAGAAGAAACUCAAUGAAUACCGACUGGAUGAGACCCCCAAAGUUAUCAAAGGAUACUACUACAAUGGUGAUCCUUUGGGCUUGCCAGCUCGCUUGACAUUGGAGUUUAGUGCCUUUGAUAUGGGGUUCCUUCUUUUAUUCAGGAGUGCUUCGAUACCAGCACGUUGCUGUCCUGCUUUUGGAACAUUGUAUAAUACCAACACUUUUGAGACUUUCAAAUCCUGUGAUAAGAAAUCACUUCUGGAAAAAGAAGCAAAUGAGAUAUGGGAAUCAAUAAAAUCUGGAGCUGCUCUUGAAAACCCCAUGCUCUUGAACAGGUUCCUGCUGCUGACGUUUGCAGAUUUAAAAAAGUAUCACUUCUAUUACUGGUUUUGUUACCCUGCUCUCUGCUUUCCCAAUGGAAUACAUAUAAUUCAGAAACCAGUGUGUCUUGGUGAGAGGUUCUCAUUAAAUCAGAUUCAAGCACUUCAGAAAGCAUAUGAUGAACUUUGCCAGAAAGAGGGGGUUACAGCCCUGCCUUAUUUUUUAAUCAAAUAUCAUGACAAUUCUGUCAAGAUAUCUCUGUUGAAAAAGUGGGAUGCUUUCUUUCAAGACCAAGGGGGAAAGGUGACAGUUGGAGUUUAUGAUCCAUGUAAUUUAUCCCACUAUCCAGGAUGGCCACUGAGAAAUUUCCUGAUCCUGGCAGCCCACAAUUGGGGCAACGUUCUUCAGACGGUUGAAGUGCUUUGCUUCAGAGACAGGACCAUGCAAGGGGUGAGGGACAUAACACACAGCAUUAUCUUUGAAAUAAAACUUCCAGAGAAACCCCUUGGCCCAGAUUGUCCAAAAGCUGUUGGAUGGGAGAAAAACCAAAAGGGAGGCAUGGGUCCAAGGAUGGUGAAUCUCAGUGAAUGCAUGGAUCCAAAAAGGUUAGCAGAAUCAUCCGUGGAUCUUAAUUUGAAAUUGAUGUGCUGGCGUUUGGUGCCUACUCUGGAUUUGGAAAAGAUUGUGUCUGCCAAGUGUCUGCUGCUAGGAGCUGGUACACUGGGUUGCAGUGUUGCAAGGACCUUGAUGGGCUGGGGAGUCAGGAAGAUCACGUUUGUGGACAAUGCAAAGAUCUCCUACUCCAACCCUGUGCGGCAGCCGCUGUACGAGUUUGAAGACUGUCUGAGUGGGGGGAAGCCCAAGGCACUUGCAGCAGCAGACAGGCUACUGAAAAUCUUCCCAGGAGUGAGCUCAGAAGGCUAUAACAUGAGCAUCCCUAUGCCAGGCCACCCAGUGAAUUUUUCUGAGGUAACAAUGGCACAGGCUCGGAAGGAUGUGGCUAAACUUGAAGAGCUUAUUGAUGCUCAUGAUGUUGUUUUCCUACUAAUGGACACUAGAGAGAGUCGAUGGCUUCCUGCUGUCAUUGCAGCCAGUAAGAGGAAGUUGGUCAUCAAUGCUGCCUUGGGAUUUGACACUUUUGUUGUUAUGAGACACGGCCUAAAGAAACCAAAACAGCAAGAAUCUGGUGAUUCAUGUUUCAGCAAUGCUUCUGGCUCUUCUGAUCUUUUGGGAUCGUCACUCUUUUCAAAUAUCCCCGGCUAUAAACUGGGCUGCUACUUCUGCAAUGAUGUUGUGGCACCAGGGGAUUCCACUAGGGAUCGGACACUGGACCAGCAGUGCACAGUCAGUCGCCCUGGAUUAGCCAUGGUAGCUGGAGCCCUUGCAGUGGAAUUAAUGGUUUCUGUUUUACAGCAUCCAGAAGGUGGUUAUGCUGUGGCCAGCAGUAGUGAUGAUAGAAUGAAUGAGCCCCCUACUUCUCUUGGACUUGUUCCUCAUCAGAUCCGAGGAUUCUUAUCAAGAUUUGAUAAUGUUCUUCCCGUCAGCUUGGCAUUUGAUAAGUGCACAGCCUGCUCAGCCAAGGUCCUGGAGCAGUAUGAACGAGAAGGGUUUAAUUUCCUUGCUAAAGUUUUUAAUUCUUCACAUUCCUUCUUGGAAGACUUGACAGGUCUAACUUUAUUACACCAGGAGACACAAGCUGCUGAGACAAAGGAAGAAAUAAAUGAAAACAAUGGUAUCUUCAGCAAAUGGAAUGCCAGUAUUUUCACUUGUACUUUAGGCCACUGACUAAUGCUGCUUCUUAGGGGACUCUGUCAACAUUUUGCCAACUAGGAGAGAAAAAAAGAAACUUUAGCAGUGAAGAGAUCUGGGACAUGAGUGAUGAUGAAACAAUCUGAAAUAAGCUGGAUAAGGAGGGGGAUGACCUGGACUGCAGCCCCACCUUUAUCUUUUACCUGACAAGUUAAUGAUUGCUUACCCAUUCUGACUGCUGCAAAUACAAACAUAAUCCACAUUUUGACAUUAAUAACUUCACCUUAAAAGCAGUCUGUUAUGGACAGAACUCUCCAUGUUUUCUUUUUUAUUUCGUAAAUAACUAAAGCAGUGUGGUUAUGUUUAAACUUGGUCUUCUUUUUUUUGUGUUUUUUUUUUUUUGUGGUUUUUUUUGUGUGUGUGUGUGUUGUUUUUUUUUUUAGUUUCUAAAUACGGCUUACAUAUAAAAUACACUGCUUAAAUAAGCUUUGGAGGUUUAUUUGUCCCAGGUCUUAUUUUGCUUGUCAAGGGACACGUGGAAGCAGAGUGUCUUUUUUCAUCUUUCUCAGAUUUGUGCCCCUUUUGUUGGAAUCUGUUGUUAAGACUGAGCAUGUUCUGCUACUGGGAAUUGAACUUCGUCUUUAAAGGAGAGCAGGAGUGGGUAAGAACCCACACCUUCUGCUUCCACCACAUUGCUUUUAUCUCCAAGCACAUACUUACAGUACAUUGUUCUUGAUGUGUCAGUGCAGGUAUUCCUCUCUGUAGAGAUCUCAUCAUUUCGUGCUAUGGCAACAAUGUGGUUUGACUUACUUUGCACAGAAAAGACCAGAAUGCAUUUUUAUGACGAUGAAGCUUUCCUGAAGGUCAGAGAAGGAGUAAGCAAAAGUGUUUUAGGGGGUGGAUCACUGAUUCAGUCAAAACUUCUAGAAAAAUACUUAAAUGAAAUAAGAAAUUGCUUCUCUGACUUUUCUAUUCUUGGAUGUGGUCCUGCAGUACCUUAUAGGUGUUUAAAAGGAGUAAUUCUGGUUGGGUUUUUGUUGUUGUUGUUGUUGUUGUUCAUUUAAGUCCUUCCAUUUUCACAGCAUCAAGAAUGGUUCCAGAGAUCAUGGCUGAGCACAGACAGUAGUUUGAGAAUCCUCAAGUUUAACAGAUAACUUGAGGAAAAGGACUUGUAAAAUAUCAAAGUAAAUUACUACAGAAUUAAAUCUAUUGCUUUUAAUAUGGAAUAGGUUUUAGAAGGAUAUUUUAAAUCUCUUAUACAGCUUUAUAUUGUGGGGUUCAUGGGCUAACUCACUAAGAAAUAAUGUAAAUUGCUUAAUCUGCCAAGCAGUCUCUGUUUUCCAUAUAUAUGAAAAUGAGUUGCUCAAUCCAAUUAUUUUAGUUCCUUAACAUAAGCUCUGAAUAUUUCUUGUAGAGAAUUUCACAGCUUCUCUCUAUGCCACAUCAGAAGUUCCUUCACAUCAAGGAUAUCUGCAACUCCCAUGUCCUGACCAUAAAAGAAAAUUUAUUGAAACAUGCUGGGGUUUGCACGAAGUGUCUUAAACAGGAAUUAUUUGUAUUUAUUUUAACUACCAUCUUCAUAGAUUUACAUGAUUUUUUAUGUAGCAUAGUGUCUAGUUUAAUUAACUGCAUUGUAAUAAAAAAAUAUUAAUGCAAUAUAUUUUUGAAAGGCUAGUAAUGAUAACAAACUGAUCUUUUGGAGGUCAGGCACUAAGGCUGAUAACAUUCCAUGUACAUUUUUAAAGCAGUUUGUUAAAUUACAUACUUAGUUUGGAGCUCAAAUGAAUUCCAUGUUGUUAUCCAUGUCAUUGUCCAGCUGGAGCCAUGGAUUGGUAGCAGGGCAGUUUAGAGGGAAUAAUCUACUUUUUUAUUUUUUGAAGUUGCUGACCCUGGGAGUGUGAAUGUCUUUGCAGAAUUUGGUUAUCUAAAACUUGAAAGCUGAAUCUGAUAAAUAUUAAUUAUUAUUUUAAGUAUCUGAAACUCUGCUUAUCCUGUUAAAGUUACCUUGUAGCUUUGCAUUGGAAGUAUCUGUUUAAGUGCAGAAGAGCACAAGGCAGGAAGGUUCAAAACUCAGGGUUAAUGUAAUGUUUCCUUACCUCUGUAUUUUCAGUAACAUACAACUCUCUGAGGCUGAGCUGUUUCCUGAACAUAUGCUCCCCAGAUGUCUCUGAUGUUCAAAAACACAUUAGUUUGACUUGGAAUAACUUCCGUUUUCUAAAUGUAAUGUUGUUUUCUUUCUCCUUGUGGACCAGAAUUCCUCUUAUUUUGCUUUUACUCAAUUUCUAGGCAUUUACUGAGUGAGAAAUUGUGAGAAUCCGUUCAAACGAAUGAAUGCACAUUCACAUACUAUUAGCAGAUAAACACAUUUAUUUACUGGCUUGUAUGCACUUAAUGACAGGAUUUCAACACAGUCCUCAGCUCCAGUUAUUGCUGGUUAAUGGAAGAAGCUAAAUUUUGCCUUUCUUCAUGAAGGAGGUAGGAUUUUAAUGUUAUUUGUGCUGCUAUGACAUCAGUGAAAUAGCCAAAUUCAUACUUUUCACUGUAGAACCCAACAGCUACUGUGGCUUUUCAGGUGUAAAACAAAUCCAUAGGGAGGAGGGAAUGAGCAGCCUCAGGGGAACCUACUCAUCUUUCUAAACUAUCUAACAGAAACGUAAUGGCAUUAUAGGGCAGUGGAGGUGGGAACUGUGACACCUACAGACUUUGUCUGGGACCAUUUAAUACUGUCAGUAGAAGAGCACAGAUCUCAGUGGAGAGCUGUUGACAGCACUUUUGUACUUGAGUAUUAAAGAAACUCAUGCAAUGAUAUCCUCUGUUUUGAUUUCACACUUGUACUGGCUGGAAUUUUUCUUCAUUGUCACCCCUUCAAUGUGUUUGCUGGCUGAAAUUGGGAUUUUGUUACAUGAAUGUACCACAUUCACUGAAGUGAGGAAUCUGAGAUUCUGUGUGAGCCUUUUCUUCCUUGGAGCCCUCACUUGCUCUCAUCCUUGCUUUCACAGUCUGCUGUGUCAUAGUCUGUCAAUCUGGAAUAAAUUUCCUUUGCCCUUUAUGUCGUGUGUAAAUUGUCCUACACCAUUAGAUCCAGCAGAAUCAUGGCAAGUACCUGGUUCAGCCCACACAAGAAUCUGUUCAUGGAGUGUGUGUAGUUUGGGUCUUAAGCCUUCAACACUGGGCUCUGAAAGAGAGGAAAGGCACAAAUUUGAAAAUUACACUUAGAUCCAUGAAAAAAGAUUCAUGAUAGCACAGACAGAUUGGUCAAGAAGGUCAUCGGGGAGUGGGACCAUAGGAGUUCUAUUCCUAGGAAGCUGAUGAAUCUCAAGAGCUAAACAGAGAUUCUGCUUCAGCAGAAGUCAACAGCAAUAUUUUGACAUGUUAUUUUGACAGUCAUUAUUUUGACAUGUCAAAGAAAAAGGUAGGGACUACUCAGGUCUUAAAAUCCAAACUUGAGCUUGUAAAAAUGCUUUUCCUUCCUUGUAUUCUGUAUGGUUUUGGUAUUGUGUCUUCAGAGAAGUCUACAGAGAAAAUUGUGUCUUCAGAGAAUGACAUAAACUAAAAUUUCUGUUUUCUCAUCUUUGAGAUUCUUAUCCCACUACCCCUAUGUCUCUGCCCAUGGCAGGGGGAGUUGGGACUAGAUCAGAGAAACAGAGAAUCAGCCAGGUUGGAAAGGACCUCUGAGAUCAUCAAGUCCAACCCUUGAUCCAACCCCACUGUGGUUCCCAGACCAUGGCACUGAUGCCACAUCCAGUCUGUCCUUAAACAGCUCCAGGGACGGAGAAUCCACCACUUCACUGGGCAGCCCCUUCCAUUGCCUGAUUACCCUCUCUGUAUUUUUUCCUGAUAUCGAACCCAAACCUCCCUGGUACAGCUUGAGACCAUGGCCUCUUGUCUCACUGAUAAUUGCCUGGGAGAAAAGACCAACCCCACCUGGCUACAACCUCCUCUCAAGGAGUUGUAGAGAGUGAUGAGGUCUCCUUUGAGCCUCCUCUUCUCCAGGCUCAACAACCCCAGCUCCCUCAGCCUCUCCUCACAGCACUUGUGCAUGAGAUGAUCUUUAAGAUCCAUUCCAACCCCCUUAAGACUCUAUGAUUCUAAUUCUGUUUCUUUGUGUAAAAUUUGGCUGUUCACUUUAAAUAUAUACACCAGAAUUAUUACCAAAAUUUAGUAUUCUUCCAUAUAUAAGCACUCUAUUUUAGUUUCUCACUUGUGCUCUCAUAGAAAACUUUUACUGAAAUGAGUAUUAUAUAUUUCUGAACUUUGCACUGUAGAACCAUAGUACUUGUUUCUCCCUCUUACUGAACAAAUUCUUUCUAAAUGUAUGUUAACUAGUGUAAUCAGAAUUGCUAGUGGAAUCAUAGAAUCAUUUGUUGGAAAAGAUCUUUAAGAUCAUCAAAUCCAAGUGUUGCCCCAGCACUGCCAAGCCCACUGCUCAUACUUUGUCAUUGUGCUGCUCCGGGACCAUGUUGGGCCAUGAAGAGUUCACCCAGUUCCCGACUCCCUGUGGAGUUUUAUUCCACUUUUUCAAGCCACAUCAUGAAAUGAGUGGAAUUCUGAGAUGUGACUUUGCCAUGCAGAAUUCUCAUUAAGGCCAGUAAUGUGUGAGGUCACUGAGCUACUGAUACCAACUUUUCUAAUGGUGAUCAAGAACAACUCUGCCUGUUUCUUACAGAGUGCCGGAGAGGUGUGGCAGAAUCCAUGAGGUUACUUUAUAUAGUUCCUUAUGCAACAUGGUAAACUUCAGCUGAAUUCCUAAGAAACAGUCCGGAAGAUAUCUCGAGCCUGUUACUAUUUUUCUUCUGAAUCUUUUGACAUGGCUUCAUUAAUUCCUUUUUUUUUUUUUUUUAAUUUAAUUUUCAAUGCAGAUGAUGUGCUUGUGCAUAUUCUAAGUUUCGUAAGAAUGAAACUUUCCCUCAAGAGGGUGUUGUGCACCUUUUCUCUCUAGAGCACCUGGAUUAACUAUUUUAAAAGACAGAAAUACUGCACUACAGAGACUUUGGACUGUCCCAGUCUGGCAGUGUGUGAAUUCCUAACCUAUGAAAAAACUGCCUACCUGUCCCAUUUCAGUUCCAGCUCUCCUUCCCUUGCAGCUGCCUGGACCUUUACCAGACCUUAACAGUGUGUAAAAAUACUGUGGCAUCACACACGUAAUGCUUUAGGUUUGAAAAUAAUCUAGACUUGCCCUCUGUAUUGCCACUUCAACUUUCCAGUGUAAUGAUUCCUGAAAAGUUCACAUCUUUAUCUGUGCAGUAUUUGACAGGUUUGGAAUUCAAAACUGUAACAGUUUGUUGACACUGGGUUUUUUCCCUCAUUUCACUUUUUUUGAUACGGUUUUGUCCCCUACUACUGACAGUGCUUGGCAAAGAAUAUCUAUGAGUUUUAUUCUCAAUUAUCCUGGGUCAAACUGUUGCUCCAACCUCAUUUUUGCAGUAUUCAAGUCAUGUCACGAUAAUCCAAGUGGGCUGUGGCUUGUGCUCAUUUCUCCUCAGUACAGUAGCUGACGUUCAGAAAUCCACAUUCUUCCACCACCCAGCAAUUUUGUCCAGGUUGCAGUGAAGUCUCUGGCGUGAGUCACUUGAAGAUUUUUAACCUGGUCAAGGAAGUUGGCCCAGGGAAGGAGAACUGAAGCUCCUCCCCGAAGAAUUAAUAGCAGUACGCUCCAGUAGCAAUGAUGAGAAGUACCUUAAGGUAUUCCAUGUCUUAAGGCAGUAAUUUUUUCACCUAAUUCCCCAGUGCCAAUGAUCUCACCCCAGGAUAAGUAUGCAGAUGGCUACUCCAACCCUGUAUAAGUUUGAGUUCUGAUUGCAGCCCUCCAUAAUAAUAUCUGCCUGUUGUGACUUAACCACAGCAUUUUUUCAAAUUCAGUGGGAUUAUUUAGGACAUGCUCUGAAAAGAGUUUCAAAACCCACCAGUUAUUGUCAGAACUUUGCAAAUGAAGUAGCAGAGGUUCUUUCUGUUCAAUGAGGCCAGUGCUCUCUUGCCAUUGAAGCUUCUUGCAGUCACUUCCUUGGGCUUAGGGCUAAAAGGGGCAAUCAGGAGUUCUAAAAACAAACAUAUUAUGUUUCCUGACUGGCACAGAGGACACAACUCUCCUUCCAUCUUCUGUAGCAGUCUAAAUGCUUGCUUCCUCAUGUUCUUUCAGUGGAUGUUUAUACAGGACAUUGAUAUAAAGUACAAUGAGCUCUGUCUCUGGAGUUGAAGGUCACAUGCACACCUUCAUUUCAUUUAAAAUGAUAAAACUUUUAAAUUACUUCUCAACAAUAUAUCUUAGUAAGCUAACAGGGAAGGACAUAAGCAUAUGCACAGCACUGUACUGCUGCAAAUGAAAAGUAUGAUUUUUUAAAAAUCAGUCCUGUAACUUCUCUCCCAUCCAGUUACUCUCUGUUCUUACAUUCCUUGGCUGUGACUUGCUGCUUCAGCUGCCCUUGAGCAUCCAAAAAUCCAGGCUUGUGUGUAACUGCAGUUUUCUUUUUGGCACUGGGACAUUUGAUUUUUGCUAGAUCUCCACAGAAUGAUUCAUUGUUUGAUUUGUUAAUGAAAUUCACCACUAAUAUUAAUUACUAAUGUUAUGCACUAUGGAAAUAAGAGAGGAGAGACAUUAUUCUGGUUUCCUUCUCACAGAGAAGGUCAGUAGUUUUUUCCCUAAUUUCUCCUUUGGUCUAAUGGUCUUAAAGAUCUUCUAAUGAUGUUCAUCUCUCAAGAAGCUACAAUGGAUGCAUCCUGGCAAGGCAGUGCUGCAGGAUCUGGGACAUGUGAAAUGCAAGCCGGCACCUUGUUGCUGGAAUGGUUUUGCUUUCUAAAUCAAAUGAGUAUGGACUAAAGCUGCAUGGAAAAAUGCUGCUGGAAUUGUUUCCUCAUCGUGUCAAUAGGCUGGGGAGGACAGCAAGAGCUGCAGAGCUUCCACAUCUGCUGCUCUGAGUGCAUUUGGACUCUGGUUUUUGACAGUUUUUGGUGUCCUUCCCCUCUGCUUUUUUCUGUCCCUGUGAGUAUCUUCCCCCCACCCCCAGUGCUGAUGUCCUCACUGCUAAGGGAGGGCUGUCAGUGAACACCCAAAUGAAUUUCUAGUGACAGAUUUCUCUUAAAUUAGAGGCAAGGAAACCUCUAGCGUAGGAAGCAUUUUACUUGAGGUUUUUGCUUUGUCUGUAAGUGUCUUUAUUUUCAUUUCAUGCUUCCAAAUCUGACUUUUAUACAGUAAUUCUGUAGGUGUUGCCACUUCCUCAGGAACCUGUGACUCAGGCGACCUCUAAAUGACAUGACAUCACCGGCAGCUCCUGUUGAAUUGCCAGUUUCCUAAAUAGGGCUGUUGGCUUUGCUUUUGGUACUUGCAGCUUUGCUUUGAGGGUUGUUUUGUGAGGGGGGAGAGAUGAGGGGUUUUAAUUACUUAAGGCAGCCUUGCCAUUCCCAGGAACCAUACUUCAAGUGUUUUAGAAUCAUGGAAAUUGCCAGUAUUGAAGCCUACUUAAAAUGGGAGAUCUGCAUUCAUAUACCAGUUAUUUAUGAAUGAAAUAAUUGUAAUUAGGCCUUCAUAGAGGUUCUGUUGUUAUAAACAGUCUUAAUUCACUCCUGGUUUAGGGAGGGGUAGAGACAAGGGGAGUCUGACCAUACUUUUCCAUUAUUUUUUUGGAAGCAAUGAAACAAAAGAUGUGUUUUCACACUACAGAGUGUUUAAUGGCUCUCAGUAAGUGUGUAUCUGCCCCACAGCAGAUUCAGGGUAGAUUUCAGGGUUUUCUUUCCAGUGGCAGUGCUGUGUAAGUACAAGGCUGGACCAGGAGGAGCUGGAGUGAGUGUUGGUUCUGGGGGGAGUGUCCCUGCUGCCGGCAGGAGUCGGGGUGGCAGCAGGAAGGCAGGGGCGACAGCAGCUCCUGCAGUUGUGUUUCCUUGGCCAUGAGCCCCAGCGACGUCAUUGCAAGGCGGGACCUGGUUGGGGAACUGCUGAGAGAAAUAAUGUCAGGAAUUCUGGUCAUCAGAAGAAUGUGGCGAGUUGGAUGUCUGUCUAGGUCAUGUAUUCAUGCUAUAAAAGUGUUGGUUUAUUGGUUAUUGUCAUGUGAAAAGGAUCCCUGUCCCUUUGUUUAAAAUAGUAGCAUUUUGGAACUCCAUAGACAUCUGUGCAGCAGAGGCUUUAGGUGUGGCCUUUGGUUGUGCUUGGAUCGUGUGGGUUCUCACUGAGCAGGCAGUGCUGUUGUAGUUGUACUUAAAGGAAAACUCAGAGAACAUCCAUGUAUCAGGGAGGUGGGAUAAGUGGCUACCAUCAGUAAUGGUCUUUCUUCUAAUGAUGUCAGUCCAUGUCAAAAUUUGGCACUGUUGAGAGCCAUGUAAUUAAAGUUAUUUUUCAGAUGACACAUUAAACCAAAAUCCUAAAAGAAAGUUCUGUUUCUCUUUCUACUUUCUUUCUGAUAAUUUAUUUUCUUUCUUUCUAUUUUUUUUUUUAUCCUACCUUCCUGGAGUUGCUGUUGAGUUUCCUCUGGGUCUUUCAUUUUCGAAAUUACUUUGUGCAUGCUUUUAAUGAAAAACUCUCACUCAAGUUUGACCCGGUGGCUGUUGGAGCACUGGUGGUUUAUCGUUAUGGGCACUAAGCUGGGAGUGAUAACAUUGCAAUUAUUUGGUCACACAAACAUGAAGAUGGCUUUCCCCUAAUUAGAACAUUUGCUAUUUCAUGCCUCUUGCAUGCAGUUGAACACUAUUUGUGUUUUUCCUUGGGGCAGUAUUAGGAUGAGGGAGCUGUAAUGCUCCUGCCCCAUCAGCCAUGGUGGAGCAGCUGAUGCCUGAUCACACUCUCCAACCCCCUGGUACCCUCACAUGACUAGUGCUCCCCAAAAUCUUGGACUGGGGCACUCAAUUACUUGCUAACUCUGUUGUGUUGAACAGGAACUCAGUCGAGUUUAGCAGUCAAAUACUACAAACUUAAGACAGACUUCUUUUAACCACUGAUUUUCAAGGGAGGAAGAGAGCAAGUCAUCUGGUGUGUGUCCAGCAUUGCCCUGGGGCUGGGUUCAUUUCCAAAAAUUACUUAAUUCAGUUUCCUGUUGGUAGUAUUUGGAAAUGUCAUUAAGAGAUUCAGAUAGAUAACUUCAAGAUAUCCAAUGCUUAAAGGUCAUCUGGGAACAGAGAACAACGACGUAGCUGUUGAUCUGAGAUACUGGAAAAGAGCGUAACUCAAAUGUCACUUGUGUGUCAGGAGGGGCUGAUACAGAUGCCACAGGGAUGUGCAGCAGAACAUGAUUCAGAAUUUGACCAAAAUCCUGGGUUUAAUUUAUUUUGUUGAUGUAGUUGUAGGUGGUUGUGGCUUCAGAAAUUUUCUAAGCCAAAGUGUUAUUGCUACUGUUGAAGCUUUCACGGUUUGGGUAAUAGUCAUAUCCAUGGGAAAUGGAUCGAGGCAGAACACAGGGACUGUACCCCAGACCUCCAGUGAGGCCAAAGAAAAUCCCAGUUUGAGUCAGCUCAGUAGAGACUCUUGCUGAGUAAAGGGCCUGGUGCAGCAAGACCAAUCUCCAUGGGCAAGAGAAUAGUACAGGUGCUAGAGGUGAUAAAGCUCUGUCUCACUUCUGACAUUGUCUAUUAAUGCAUUUUAAUCAAGUUUGGAUAAGUUGUUCAGGUUAGUGAAAUUCAUUUGCAUCAAUUUUUGGAUGCCCAAAUUUGGAUGCUCAGAGCCAGACGUUGAUGGUGUCUUAAACUGGGUUUCAGAAUUCUAAAAGGAAUGUGUUUGGGAAUGUAAAGACAAUCUUACAUUAAGCAUGUAUUUCUAAAACUUAUGUGUGUAAAAGAGGAUUAAAUAAAUCUGUUCUUAAAUUUUAA